rnacentral:tRNA from 1 species
GCCGCGGUAGCUCAGUUGGUAGAGCAUCGGAUUCGUAACCCGAAGGUCGUGGGUUCAAGUCCCAUCCGCGGCU